UUGAACGCUGGCGGUAUGCUUUACACAUGCAAGUCGAACGGGCUAUGGGGCUUGCUCCAUAGUUAGUGGCGAACGGGUGAGUAACAUAUCGGAACAUGUCCGGAAGUGGGGGAUAACGUAGCGAAAGUUACGCUAAUACCGCAUAUGCCCUGAGGGGGAAAGGGGGGGAUCGCAAGACCUCUCGCUUUCGGAGUGGCCGAUAUCGGAUUAGCUAGUUGGUGAGGUAAAGGCUCACCAAGGCGACGAUCCGUAGCUGGUCUGAGAGGACGACCAGCCACACUGGAACUGAGACACGGUCCAGACUCCUACGGGAGGCAGCAGUGGGGAAUUUUGGACAAUGGGCGCAAGCCUGAUCCAGCCAUACCGCGUGAGUGAAGAAGGCCUUCGGGUUGUAAAGCUCUUUCAGCCGGAAAGAAAUUGCUUCUAUUAAUACUAGGAGUAGAUGACGGUACCGGAAGAAGAAGCACCGGCUAACUACGU
rnacentral:rRNA from 1 species